AUAAAGUUUUAUUUUGGCUUUUUAAAUUUAUUAUUAAUUUAUUUUAUAUGUAAAUUUUUGUGAGAAUUUAGUUUAUUUCUUAAAGAUAAAACUAUAUUAUUAUUCGCAGUAAUUAGUAUUAAUUAUUAGAGUAAUCUAGAAUUAGUAAUUUUAAAUAGUAUUGGUAAAAUUUGUGCCAGCAACUGCGGUUAUACAAAAAAUGCAAAUGAAUUAUAUUAAAUUUUAAUUAAAUUGUAAAUAUAUUAUUUAAUAAUUGAAAAAUUUUUAAGUGAAAUUUUAAUUUUUUUUUGUUAAUAAAUAAAUUUUAAUUGAAUUUUGGAAAUUUUAUGAAUAAACUAGGAUUAGAUACCCUAUUAUUUUAAAAUGUAUAUAAAAAAAUUAGAGUAGUAAUAGUUAAGAUCUUGAAACUCAAAAAAUUUGGCGGUAUUUUAGUCUAUUCAGAGGAACCUGUGUUGUAAUUGAUAAUCCACGUUGGACCUUACUUAACUUUGUUUAUCAAUUUGUAUACCGCCGUUAUUAAAAAUUUUAUAAGAAUAAUAAUUUUUAUAAAUUUCAAUAAAAAAGUAAAUCAGGUCAAGGUGCAGUUUAUAGUUAAGUAUUCAUGGGUUACAAUAAAUUUAUUUAAACGGAUAAAACUAUGAAAUUUAGUUUUUAAAGGUGGAUUUGAUAGUAAAUUUUUAAAGAUUAAAAAAUUGAUUUUAGCUCUAAAAUAUGUACACAUCGCCCGUCGCUCUUGUUAUUAAUAUAAGAUAAGUCGUAACAUAGUAGAUGUACCGGAAGGUGUAUCUAGAAUGUC
rnacentral:ncRNA from 1 species